UAAUGUAUAUUUUUUCUUAUAGAAUUAAACUGUUUGCUGAAAACUGGAUCUACGGUAGGACAUCCUAAUUAUGGCAAAAGUUACUACAUGUGUCCAUUGUAUCCAAAGGGAUGUAACUACGUAGCAAAAGCAAGCAUUCCACCUAGGUUCUGUUCUAGGCAUAAAAAUAAAAUUAUAGAAUUGCAAGUAUUUAAAGAUUUGUUGGCUUCUGGCGAGAAAAGAGAAAAAAAAAAUAGUUAUUUGGAUUUUGGGCCACUUGUGUAGGAAAAUGUUGAAAAUUUCAGUGUGAAGACCAACAUUAUUUUAGGUUUUUCAAAUUUUAUGUUUUAAUUUUAAGCACAAUUUUUUCCUGCAACUUAUUCACUUAGCAGGAAGUAACUGUUAAUUAAAAAAGGAAAAAUAUAAAAUAUAAUCGUUCUGUCGGUCUUUGUAACUUUUAAAAUAAUUCAUCAUUAAUUUGUUUACAAGUAAAUUUA